rnacentral:rRNA from 1 species
UACGUAGGGAGCAAGCGUUGUCCGGAAUCAUUGGGCGUAAAGCGCGCGUAGGUGGCUCUAUAAGUCCGUUGUGAAAGUCAAAGGCUCAACCUUUGAAAGCCGAUGGAUACUGUGGAGCUAGAGUACGGAAGAGGCGAGUGGAAUUCCUGGUGUAGCGGUGGAAUGCACAGAUAUCAGGAGGAACACCAAUAGCGAAGGCAGCUCGCUGGGACGUUACUGACACUGAGGCGCGAAAGCGUGGGGAGCGAACAGG